AGGCUUCUCUCUCGAGAAGCUUCCGCCCUCUGCGUUCAUCCUCUGCCUCUCCGCCUCUCGUCGCCUUUCUUGGGUAUAAGUCGCUGCCCCUCUGCAGUCAUCUCUCACCUUUUCUACCUCCACCAUCACCCAUUCCCGAAUAAUCCUUGUGAUGUAGAUCCACCUGUAAUCUGAAGCCCUCUCUCUUCUCUUCCGCCUUUCGUCGAAUAAUACUCUCCGGCUAUUUUCUGAGGGAUUUGACUGAAUAAAUGUCGAAAUCCUACGGAGAUAAAUAUGAUUUCGAAUGGAUGACUGAGUUGGAGGUUUGGAUCAAAAUGUUGGGGAUUGAAGAUGGAUGCAGAGAUCGGGUUCGCCGGGCUUUAGCCCAAGAAGGUAAACGGCCAUUUAUGCCCUCUAGCCCCUCUUUUGUGAUGAACUCCUGUGAAGAAUUGGUUUCGUCUUCAAACCCUAAUUCUUACUCUGAUUUCUUUUUUUCUUUGUGAGGAAAAUUGGCAACACAACGAAAUGAGCGACGACGAGUUGAGGAUGUUGAAGGUCCUGUUUCCUGCCUAUUUUCUGGUGAGAUCUACCCUAAUCUCUAUUCUGGUAUUGGUUGUUGUCGAUCCCUUGUUCUUAUGGUUUGGUUUAGGCUGUUGGAUGUGGGAUUUGCAGUGUUUGUACUAUGUGGUAUGUGUGUUUAUGUGGUCUGAAAUGAUGAAUUAAUGCUCAUAUGUUAUGUCCUUGUUGUAUUUUAGAACUAUGAUUGAAUUUACUGAAAAUGAGAUGAAAAAUCCCUGAUUCUUGAUUGUUCCCAUGUUCUUAUGAUUUGGUUUCCUUAGUUCUAGUUUGAUUGGAUUGUUUGAGUUGUUGGUUGGCUGAUGUUUGUUGGUGUUGUUGGUUGGCUGUUGUUAGAGUUUUUGCAUUUAUUCAUAAUGUAACCUUAAUC
rnacentral:lncRNA from 1 species